CAUCAUCAUCAUCAUCAUUGUUCUGCAUUAGAGGGGUUAUGAAUGCCAAUGUUGUAGAUGAAAAGUAUUGCUUCAUAUCAAAGGCUGCCUUUUCAUCCACCUUUUAGCUCUAGCUUGAUUAAUAUCAUUCGCCUAAUUCCUAGAUAUUAAGCUAUGUGACGUUGAUCUUGAUGGGAUAAACAUCAUCAAGUUAAGUACUUGAGAGCAGUUGAAUCAAGCUUUAAAGUAAAAUAAUGCAAAACACAGUAUUAUUUAAAAGAACGAAGAAAAGUUAGUAACCAUUAGAAAAACAUAAAUACUACAGAGAGGCCCUCAUGUCUUUACAAAUGUUGCUUCGUGAUGUGUCGGAUUCAUUUCUUUGCUUGCCUCGAUUUAAAUUAUUAGUAAGAGAGAGUAGGGACAAAAAAGUAGAUAUAAAAUGGAAGUGAAGAAUAAGCAGAACCUAAGUGAAGAUGGAGAAGUGGAGGAGCUGGCUGUGGUUCAAACAAACAUUUGUCUUCUCUCCCAAGUGUAUUCUUUUGAAGCUUGCUUCAAGCUUAAGACACAAAACCAGAGGAAACGAUCAUGGGCUCAUGAGUCUGUACAAGGACAUAGAAAGUUGUGGAGAGUAUACAGACAUACAAGUGAUGUGGAAAAUGGUUCAUUCUUGUCAUCCAAUUGCUCAAAACACUAGAAGGAAGAGACCUUGCAGGAAUUUCUGUUUCAGGCCAAUUUGAAUCAUGUCAAUCCUCCAAACUAUAAACUUGAUGCAGCAGUAAUCUUUAA